UGAAUAUAAUUUUAAGUCUAAUCUGCCCAAUGAAUUAUUAAAUGGCUGCAGUAUUUUAACUGUACAAAGGUAGCAUAAUAAUUAGUUUCUUAAUUAGGAACUGGAAUGAAUGAUUGAACGAGAUAAUAACUGUCUUAAUUUAAAUUAAAGAAUUUUAUAUUUAAGUUAAAAAGCUUAAAUUUUAUUAAAAGACGAGAAGACCCUAUAGAAUUUUAUAAAAUUGUAUUUUAUAUUUUUUAGUAUAAUAUACAUAUAUAUAUAUUAUUUUAUUUAAUUGGGGUGAUUGAAAAAUUUAUUUAACUUUUUUUAAAUUAUGUACAUUAAUUUAUGUUUAUUUGAUCCAAUUUUUUUGAUUAUAAGAUUAAAUUACCUUAGGGAUAACAGCGUAAUUUUUUUGGAGAGUUCUUAUCGAUAAAAGAGAUUGCGACCUCGAUGUUGGAUUAAAGUUAAUUUUUAAUGUAGGAGUUAAAAUAUUAGGUCUGUUCGACCUUUAAUACUU
rnacentral:rRNA from 1 species